AUGUUUUGGUCCAAGAUGCCAUCAAUCUUCAUCUUUCUUUUCCUCCUUUCAGGAAUGAGUAUCAUCCAGUGCUCAUUGGCAGCGUGGACCCAUCCAACUGGGGACCAGAUCAUCUCUCCUCCUGUUGUAAACUGAAUGGAGUGGGGGUUACCUGGUUUCAUCACUGUAUGUGGGAACCUGUCAAUCUUCUCAUGCAGGAUAUCUGGACAUCUGGUUUUUGACCCCUGUUUACCUCAAUGCUUGCUUCCUCCUCCACAUUUGAUCAUCAGAGUAGCCAGAGGCAAGACACCAUUGCUUGGCAGACUGUGCAGGGGACAGAAGGAGGGGAGAAACCAGAGAAUUUACUGCCUGCUUUGGAGUCAGCUCCAAAAGUGAGCCAUAGCAGCCUGUGCCUUAAUGUAUGAAGCAAUGAACCUUAGGAGUUGGUAGAUUUCUGAAGAUCAAAGAAGUUGGCAUGUCCUUAACCAUAUCCUGCCCUGAAGAUCAGUUUCAGUUCCAUGUGGAGAUGAGACACCAUGUCCACAGAAGCUAAAUGCCACCGUAUCCUUGUUAGUUAACCUUGUUCU
rnacentral:lncRNA from 1 species